rnacentral:rRNA from 1 species
GACGAACGCUGGCGGCGCGCUUAACACAUGCAAGUCGAACGGAAAGGCCUGCUUUCCCUUGUGGAUUGCGGGUACUCGAGUGGCGAACGGGUGAGUAACACGUGAGUGAUCUGCCCCCAACUUGGGUAUAAGCCUGGGAAACUGGGUCUAAUUCCCGAUAGGACUGCAGGGUGGUGCCUGUGGUGGAAAACGAUUUUCUAGUGGUUGGGGAUGAGCUCGCGGCCUAUCAGCUUGUUGGUGGGGUAAUGGCCUACCAAGGCGGCGACGGGUAGCCGGCCUGAGAGGGUGGACGGCCACAUUGGGACUGAGAUACGGCCCAGACGCCUACGGGAGGCAGCAGUGGGGAAUAUUGCACAAUGGGCGGAAGCCUGAUGCAGUGACGCCGCGUGGGGGAUGACGGCCUUCGGGUGGUAAACUCCUUUCGACCGCGAGGAAGCCACCUGGUUGGAAGGGUGGUGACGGUAGUGGUAGAAGAAGCACCGGCUAACUACGUG